rnacentral:rRNA from 1 species
GACGAACGCUGGCGGCAUGCCUAACACAUGCAAGUCGAACGGAACUUGUUGAAUGAAGUUCUCGGAUGGAUUUUAGCAAGUUUAGUGGCGGACGGGUGAGUAACGCGUGAGCAACCUGCCUUUCAGAGGGGGACAACAGUUGGAAACGACUGCUAAUACCGCAUGAUGUGUCGAGACCGCAUGGUCUUGACACCAAAGAUUUUAUCGCUGAAAGAUGGGCUCGCGUACGAUUAGAUAGUUGGUGAGGUAACGGCUCACCAAGUCGACGAUCGUUAGCCGGACUGAGAGGUUGAACGGCCACAUUGGGACUGAGACACGGCCCAGACUCCUACGGGAGGCAGCAGUGGGGAAUAUUGGGCAAUGGGGGAAACCCUGACCCAGCAACGCCGCGUGAAGGAAGAAGGCCUUCGGGUUGUAAACUUCUUUAGUCAGGACGAAGAACGUGACGGUACCUGGAGAAAAAGCAACGGCUAACUACGUGCCAGCAGCCGCGGU